GACGAACGCUGGCGGCGUGCUUAACACAUGCAAGUCGAACGGGAUGAUUUAGAAGCUUGCUUUUAGAGAAUCUAGUGGCAAACGGGUGAGUAACACGUAGGCAACCUGCCGACAGGAUGGGGACAACAUUCCGAAAGGAAUGCUAAUACCGAAUGAAGCGGAGGAGAGGCAUCUCUCCUGCGUGAAAGAUGGCCUCUAUAUAUAAGCUAUCACCUGUCGAUGGGCCUGCGUCUGAUUAGCUGGUUGGUGAGGUAACGGCUCACCAAGGCGACGAUCAGUAGCCGGUCUGAGAGGAUGAACGGCCACAUUGGGACUGAGACACGGCCCAGACUCCUACGGGAGGCAGCAGUGGGGAAUCUUCCGCAAUGGGCGCAAGCCUGACGGAGCAACGCCGCGUGAGUGAAGAAGGUCUUCGGAUCGUAAAGCUCUGUUGAUGGGGACGAACGUGCGAAGA
rnacentral:rRNA from 1 species